AAUCUAGGUUCCAAUCAAUUUGCC
rnacentral:siRNA from 1 species